UUUGCGCAACCCAUUGGCCAAGUGCGUGAAUUGGUUUUAGUUGGGCCAAAGGCUUGCAGCAGUAAAUAGCACAAAAUUUUGCCACAGUCCGCAAAAAAAAAUAAUUUCUAAAUAAACUAAAUAAAAUCCAGUAAUUCAAAAUGAGUGAGGCUAAGAACUUGUUUACCACUUUCGGCAUUUUGGCUCUACUUUUGUUCCUACUUUGGAUCGUCUAUGCUGUGUUGUAAAUGAUCACAUAAUGGAUGGGGGCAUAGAGUUUUGGAGGAGCAGACAUCAAAAUCAACAACAGCAACAACAUGAAUGAAGCUAAGAGUUUGUUUACCACCUUCCUCAUCCUGGCAUUCUUGCUCUUCCUGCUCUAUGCCUUCUACGAAGCCGCUUUCUAAAUCAUGUUUUGGAAUACCUAGUUUAAAAGAUAUACUUACAUGUUGAAUUUCAAUUUCAAUUCCAACGACAAUUCAAUUUUAAAAUCAACAAUUACUUAUGUCUAGGAUUUGUAGAGCUUUACGCGUUUAAGCCGCUAGCAUUUAAUGGAUUUUUAUUAGUAACCUAAGUCAGAUGACGUCACAGCCGCAGGCGGAAUGCAGCUGCUCGGUUCGUGGGCCUCAACGUGUUACGCUUGAUUUGGCGAAUGUUGCGGUCCAUUUGGGAGCCCCGGCGAAGGGGACUCGAUAAAUGAUGUGAUUGAAACGGUGUUGCAGCCACAUCCUCUUGCCACUGCCUGGGGGCUUUUGGCGUCAUCUGUUCUAAUCAUAAAUAUUAAUUUGCAAUAUUUGUUUCGCAAUGGAAUCUAUUCAAUUUUGAAUUUACAAUUUAUAGACCAUAAUGUACAGUAUGAUAAGUGUGUACAGCAACAACAAGAUGCGCACAUAGAGAAAUUGUUUAAUUCAUUGUUUAACACACUUUGCACACAUAAUAUCUAAGAUCUUUAUUUAUUAAUUGCAUUUUUUGUAAAUAACAACAAGACCAACAGCAACAACAAAAGCAACAAAUGCAUAACAAUAACAACACACUGCAGGAAUAAAAAACAAAAACAAAAAA